GGGACUGUGGUCUAGUGGUAGAGCGCUUGCCUAGCAUGCAUGAAGCCCUGGGUUCAAUUCCUCAGUACCA
rnacentral:tRNA from 1 species